GACAGAGGGGGCAAGCGUUGCUCGGAAUUACUGGGCGUAAAGGGCGCGUAGGCGGGAUGGUAAGUCGGUCGUGAAAUCCCUCGGCUCAACCGAGGAACGUCGAUCGAUACUACCGUUCUUGAGGAUUGCAGAGGAGACUGGAAUUCCCGGUGUAGCGGUGAAAUGUGUAGAGAUCGGGAGGAACGACCGGUGGCGAAGGCGGGUCUCUGGGCAAUUCCUGACGCUGAGGCGCGAAAGCGUGGGGAGCAAACAGG
rnacentral:rRNA from 1 species